rnacentral:lncRNA from 1 species
UUUUUUUUCUCUUUUUGUCUUUUUAGGGCCACACCUGUGGCAUAUGGAAGUUCCCAGGCUAGGGGUCUAAUCAAAGCUGUAGCUGUCAGCCUACACCACAGCCACAGCAACGCCAGACCUGAGCUGUGUCUGCAAACUACACCACAGAUCACGGCAGCACCGGAUCCUUAACCCACGGAUCGACGCCAGGAAUCGAACUUGCAACCUUAUGGUUCCUAGUCAGAUUAGUUUUCACUGCACCACGACGGGAACUCCAUGGGCCACAUAUAAUUUUAAUGAAUGCAAAUGGGUUGUGUUAUGGAUCUCACUCCUGGACUUUUUUUCUCUCGGCUCUGUUUUAAGCUGCUCCAUUUGGCCGUCUGUACAUCAAAUCUGUUACUUCUGACUGCUGCGGGUGGGGACGUAUCACCCAGAUCCGAGGAUAGAAUGGGGAGGCUGGUAGCCAGCACAUGGGGCUUGUGAGCGCUACCCCCUCCCACAUCCCACAGCCCCCCACCGCCCCUGGGGGUGGGGUGGAGCCAUCUGAAAGGGCACAGCCCGGAGGCCCUGGAACAUUAGAUUUGUUUCACCUAAUCUCCAGCAGGACCUGGCUCCUUAGCUGUGUUACAAACAGGCGCUAUGACUGCCAUGCAUCUAAGUCCAUCCAAUUAAGCUCAGAUUAAUUUCAGAGGUGCUGGCCUUCGUUGGGGGUGAGCACAGCAGAGAUGGGGGAUGUGGAGCAGGGUGGGGAGGAGGAAAGCAGGAGAGGAGCUCUGAGGAGCUGGGCUCUGAGGAGCUGCAUGUAAAGCACGUUCUGUUCAUCUCCAGCCCCUGAGCAGGGUAGGCAGGGGUAUCAGGGUCACAUCUUCAGUGCGUCUUCCUCCCUCCAGCUCCCAGCACCAGGAUAUAGAAACUUUCAGAGAAGGGCUGUGAACCCCAGGGUUUUUGGGGCAGAACCUGGCGCUGGGUUCAGGUCCAAGCAUCCAGGAGGGGCCCUACAGGCCAGGAGCCGGCUGGCAGGUGGACAGCAAAGAAGGCUGCUCCUCAGUCCCCACACUGCCCACCUGCCAAGGCCCCACUGGAGUUGGGGGACAGAAUUCUGAUUAAGUGCUGACUCUGCCCUCCAGCUUCCGGAGGAGAGGGAGUGGAGGAGACCCUCCCUCCUGGUAGUACAGCUCCUCAAACGGGCUUCCCCAGCCCUAGGGCCAUAGAGGUACCUGGGGGGUUGCCCAUCCCCCAGUGCUUGCCCAUCUGAGCACCUGACUGAGAGCUUUUGAAGAAACAGCUCUGCUGCCAUUUGAAAACUACUCCAAGGCAUCGCCUGGUCUUAGGUGAAAUGCCUCUGAUCCUCAACAUCUUGAUGAAAAUGCGUCCUCUGGUGGCUCCAUGGGUUAAGGAUCUGGCGUUGUCACUGCUAUGGUUCUGUUACUGCUGUGACUCUGGUUACUGCUGUGGUGUGCGGUGUGGGUUCGAUCCCUUCCAUGUGCUUUGGGUACAGCCAAAAAAAAAAAAAAAAUUUAAAAACAAAAGAAAAACAAAAACAGAAAAUGAGUCUAAGCACUUUUCUCCUGACCAAGCAGUUUGUUUUUGGGGUUUUUUUGUUUGUUUUUAUUUUUUUGUCUUUUGACCUUUUAGGGCCGCACCUGUGGCAUAUAGAGGUUCCCAGGUUAGGGGUCAAAUUGGAGCUGUUGUCGCCAUCCUACACCACAGCCACAGCAAUACCAGAUCUGAGCCGCCUCUGUGACCUACACCACAGCUCACAGCAAUGCCAGAUCCUUAACCCACUGAGCGAGGCCGGGGUCAUCAUACAUCACCUGAGUGAUGCUGGGGGAUGAAGCUGAUCAGAUACAGAGGGGGAGGGAUUCUGGCUAAACUGACCAACAGAGCAGGAUUCUUGCUAAAAUUGUGCAAUGCAGAGACCAACACAGAAGCCCAAAAGUCAGGGCCCAUUUGAUCAGAGAAUUCAGAAGACCCUGACUAGAGUUUGUUCAAGGAGAGAAUCUUUGUCAGUAAUGGGAGUCCACUUCCAUUUUGAAUAGGGGUUGAUAAGAACCAAAUUUCUGAUCUUUUGCAUUUGGUGAUCAGAAGAACGUUCCGCAGGAGUUCCCAUUGUGGCUCAGCGGUUAGCAAACCUGACAAGCAUCCAUGAGGAUGUGGGUUCAAUCCUUGGCCUCAUUCAGUCGGUUAAGGAUCUGGCGUUGCCAUGGCUGUGGUGCAGGUUGCAGAGGCGGCUUGGAUCCUGAGUUGCUGUGGCUGUGCGUAGGCAGGCGGCUACAGUUCCGAUUGGACCCCUAGCCUGGAAGCC